GGAGCAGAGGUAUCCAGCGACUUGGAGCAGACAAGUAUGGAAGGCUCUGGCGAUGAUUGGAUGGCCGAGGUGAGGCAGCGAGUGGCUCAGUAUGGGGAUGAUUUACCCAUGGAGGUACGCCGGGUGAUCUGGAACCAGGUCACGGCCGAGCGAAACACAAGGCUGGCCCGAGAAUUCCGGCUGGCGAAAGAGAGAGAGUAUGCUCAGCGGAAGGAGUGUUACAGCAGCCGAGUAGAGGCUGCAUCCGAGGAGGCUAGCCGUCUCCCCCUGAGGCGGCCGCAGGAACCCGAAGUAGGGGUCCUCAUAGACUGGUCCUGUGAGGAACCACAACAGGCAGGUGGAGAUGGGACCGGCCCAGAUCCCCAGCAGCAGCCGGAGUUGCCAGGUGCGGAAGCAGGUGGUCCU